GAUGAACGCUAGCUACAGGCUUAACACAUGCAAGUCGAGGGGCGGCAUGAACAUAGCUUGCUAUGUUUGAUGGCGACCGGCGCACGGGUGAGUAACGCGUAUCCAACCUGCCCAUUACUCAGGGAUAGCCUUGCGAAAGUAAGAUUAAUACCUGAUGUCGUUAUUUUGCUGCAUGGUGAAUUAACUAAAGAUUUAUUGGUAAUGGAUGGGGAUGCGUAACAUUAGGUAGCUGGUGAGGUAACGGCUCACCAAGCCUACGAUGUUUAGGGGUUCUGAGAGGAAGGUCCCCCACACUGGAACUGAGACACGGUCCAGACUCCUACGGGAGGCAGCAGUGAGGAAUAUUGGUCAAUGGACGAGAGUCUGAACCAGCCAAGUAGCGUGCAGGAUGACGGCCCUCUGGGUUGUAAACUGCUUUUAGUUGGGAAUAAAAGAUAGCACGUGUGCUAUGUAUUGUAUGUACCAUCAGAAAAAGGACCGGCUAAUUCCGUGCCAGCAGCCGCAGUAAAAC
rnacentral:rRNA from 1 species